UACGGGGGGAGCAAGCGUUGUUCGGAUUUACUGGGCGUAAAGGGCGCGUAGGCGGUCAGCACAAGUCAGUUGUGAAAUCUCCGGGCUUAACUCGGAAAGGUCAACUGAUACUGUGCGACUAGAGUGCAGAAGGGGCAACUGGAAUUCCCGGUGUAGCGGUGAAAUGCGCAGAUAUCGGGAAGAACACCCGUGGCGAAGGCGGCUCUCUGGGACGGUACUGACGCUGAGACGCGAAAGCGUGGGGAGCGAACAGG
rnacentral:rRNA from 1 species